AGAUUGAACGCUGGCGGCAUGCCUUACACAUGCAAGUCGAACGGCAGCGCGGGAGCAAUCCUGGCGGCGAGUGGCGAACGGGUGAGUAAUACAUCGGAACGUGCCCAAUCGUGGGGGAUAACGCAGCGAAAGCUGUGCUAAUACCGCAUACGAUCUACGGAUGAAAGCAGGGGAUCGCAAGACCUUGCGCGAAUGGAGCGGCCGAUGGCAGAUUAGGUAGUUGGUGAGGUAAAGGCUCACCAAGCCUUCGAUCUGUAGCUGGUCUGAGAGGACGACCAGCCACACUGGGACUGAGACACGGCCCAGACUCCGUACGGGAGGCAGCGAGUGGGGAAUUUUGGAAC
rnacentral:rRNA from 1 species